CUUCUCGUGGCGUAGUUGGUAACGCGCCAGUCUAGCGAAUGGGUAGUCGUGAGUACGAUUCUCACCGGGAAAA
rnacentral:tRNA from 1 species